CCACUACCUGCCCUUCCACCUGGGGAGAAGACACUGCUCCGUCCUGCUCGUCAGCCAGCAGGUUGGUGAGCAGGUGUAUCUUGUGGAGGGGACAGCAGAUCUUCCCCUGUCCUCCCCUCUGACCACAAAGCCCAGUCCAAAUGUAGUCCAUGUUAGCAGCGCCACCUCUGAUGGUGCUGAUCCCAGGCCUGCGGUGAACCUGCGUUGCGGCGUGGGCAGCACCCUGG